rnacentral:tRNA from 1 species
GGGGUCGUGGGCUAACCUGGUAGACUUCUGCCUUCGGGAGGCAGAGAUCUGAGUUCAAAUCUCGGCGACCCCA